rnacentral:rRNA from 1 species
UACGUAGGGGGCGAGCGUUGUCCGGAUUUAUUGGGCGUAAAGAGCUCGUAGGCGGUUUGGUAAGUCGGGUGUGAAAACUCCGGGCUCAACUCGGAGACGCCACUCGAUACUGCCAUGACUAGAGUCCGGUAGGGGAGUGCGGAAUUCCUGGUGUAGCGGUGAAAUGCGCAGAUAUCAGGAGGAACACCGGUGGCGAAGGCGGCACUCUGGGCCGGAACUGACGCUGAGGAGCGAAAGCGUGGGGAGCGAACAGG